rnacentral:lncRNA from 1 species
CUAAGGGGUCACUUAGAUGUUUAUUUUUUAUAUAUAAAUAUAAUUAUUUUGUAUAAUAAAUUUAUACCAAAAUCAUGCAAAAUGAAAGAAUAUAUAAAAGAAAACUUCUAACUUUUACUUUUGUAUUUUCUGUAACCUUAAUAUUUUUUUUUAAAAAAAAAAACUGCUUAAAAAAAGUUUACUUUUUUUAAUAUAGGGCCAUUUUAAUACAAUGUUUAAGCCCAUUUUACAAAACCCAACCCAUUAGUUAUAUUAAAAAUUAGGUUAGAUGUCUUCUUCCCAGCGUAGCCUACACUCCUUCCUCUCGCUGUUUCGACUUCAUCUCUUUCUUUCUCUCGGUCUUUCUUCAUGCAGCGCCUCAGUGCUACCUUAAGCGUCGACGCCUCAACGGAAAAACGCCAGCCCAGACCAGCCCAGGUGGCCUAGGCUGCCUAGGCUGGGGCUAGGCGACCUAGGCGGCGCCCAACUCCCUGGCGGCUACUCCUUCCUCUCGCUGUUUCGACUCCAUCUCUCUCUUGGUCUUUCUUCAUAACAAGCAGCCACCUUAAGCGUCGCCGCCUCCUGCGCUCUUUAACCGCUCCUCGUCGACGCCUCAACGGCAAAACGCCCGCCUAGACCAGCCCAAGCCGCCUAGGCGGCCUCGGCGGUGCCCAACUCCCUGGCGGUUACUCCUUCCUCUCGCUGUUUCGACUCCAUCUCUUUCUCGGUCUUUCUUCAUAACAAGCAGCCACCUUAAGCGUCGCCGCCUCCUGCGCCCUUCAAUCGCUCCUCGUCGACGCCUCAAUGGCAAAACGCCCACCCAGACCAGCCCAUGCCUCCUAGGCGGGGGCUAGGAGGCCUAGGCGGCGCCCAACUGCCUGGCUCCUACUCCUUACGAUUAGGAUGAAAUGGCAGCGGUGUCCUACCGCCUAGCAACUUGAAUGUAUCGGUGUGAAAGGCUGAUCAAAGCUACGCACCUUGCAUAGGAAAUUGACUUCCGAAAGAUGGUUCUCUUCGGUGACCCGUAAACACAUGUUAUGCUAUCACUUCCGUAGUAAAUAUAAAUUUAACCUGCCGUUUAAUGAAGUUGAACUACAAUACGAGAGAGAAGAAAAAACAAGUUGAUUUCCGAUAGCUGUUAAUUGAAGCAGUUUCCGAAGCAUUAUUUCAUUUUGAUGCUUCUAAAACAAAUUAAAGCAUGGAGUGGAGUUUAUCACAUUCUGUUCUCACAUGGCUCCUGGUAAUAUCCAUAACACCAGGGCAACCACAGAGGGCCAUAGUGAGCUCAAACUCCAUCUUUCAGCAUUUCGAUAAACAAUUGCACUCACAGAGUUUAGGUCAGUUGAUAAAAUCCCUUCAAAGUUCUUCAACUGAGGUGCAACCAUUCUGCAGAAGUUGUCACAGUCAUGUUUCAAAUGAGAUGCAUAAUGUUAGAAUUCUCUGUUUAUAUAUGUAUUUUCAGAUUAGGAAGAGGUGUAUAUUCUGGAGAUUUUAGCUAGAGAGAAUGAAGAGAAAAUGGGGAAGGCACUGUUCUAUUGAAUUCUGACAAUCUGCAGCUUACAUAGUGUGUCUGACAGAGAGAGAAAUGUGAUUCUCUCCUAACAGAAUUACAACUGUCACCCUAUUAGGUGCUUACACGUGUCAUACCAAAUCUAAGCUAGAGAAUCCACCUAGACUAUGAUCUAAUGGUUCUCAUUACAUCAUUUAAAAUAGACUUAACAGAAAAAUAGGAAAUGACUUCAGCUCUAAGAAAUCUGUAGAAGGAUUAUAUUUCAACACUCCCUUCUAAUCCUUUAGCUGAUUUCACUCAAAGCAAGCUUCUCAGCCUCACAAACCGAUCCUUAGGCAGAGCCUUAGUCAAAAUGUCUGCUAUCUGAUCUUCUGUCUUGCAGUACUCCAGUUCAAUUUCUUUUGCUUGAAUGGCUUCCCUUAUAAAAUGAAAUUUCCUGCUGAUGUGUCUUGUCUUUUGGUGAUGAACUGGAUUCCUUGCCAUUGCAAUUGCAGAGGUGUUGUCACAUAGAAUUGGAGUCCCUUCUAUCUGUUCUUCACCAAAAUCUUCAAGCACAAAUCUGAGCCACUUAGCUUGUGAAGUUGCUUCUGCAGCACUCACAUACUCAGCUUCGGCUGUAGAUAAAGCAACUGUGUUUUGCUUGAUGGAAGCCCAAGAGAACAUGCCUGAGCCUAGUGUGAAGGCAUAUCCUGAGGUGCUCCUCAUAUCAUCCUCACUCCCAUCCCAGUCACUGUCACAAUACCCAAUUAGAGUAGCUGUUUUCCCCUUUGCAAACUCAAUUCCAAAAUCUAAUGUGCCUUGUAUGUAUCUCAGCACCCUUUUAGCAGUUCCCAUGUGUUUCUUUGAGGGAUUGUGCAUAAACCUAGCAAGCAAGCUAGAUGCAAACAUGACAUCUGGUCUUGUGGCAGUCAGAUAAAGUAGACUUCCUACAAUCUGUCUGAAUUCAUUUUCAUCUGCUGCUUCACUUCCAUCUUCUCUACACAAUUUCUCAUUCACCACUAAUGGAAUUGCCACUGACUUGCAGUCUCUCAUUCCAAACUUCUCAAGAAUUUUCAUGGCAUAUUUCUUUUGUUGAAUGAAAAUAUGCUUGUCAGUUUGUUCCACUCCCAUGCCAAGAAAAUGAUGCAACAGACCCAAGUCUGUCAUCUCAUAGUGUUGCAUCAUAUCUUGUUUAAAUUCUUCAAGCAUUUUAGGACAGCUUCCAGUAUAUAUAAUGUCAUCUACAUAGAGUGAGACAAUGAUAAUACCUGAGGUGUCACUUGUUUUGAUAUAGAGAGUAGCUUCACUUAAGCUUUUCUUGAAACCUGCAGUGUUGAAAUAGGCAUCUAUUUCAUCAUACCAGGCCCUUGGGGCUUGUUUCAGUCCAUAUAGAGCCUUGUUCAACCUGUACACCUUGGUUUCCUUGCUCUCUUGAACAUAUCCUUGAGGUUGUUCAACAUAAACUUCCUCCUUUAGAAUGCCAUUGAGAAAGGCAGACUUCACAUCUAGUUGAAAUAGGUUCCAUUCCUUUUGUGCUGCAAGGGCUAUCAAAGUUCUGAUGGUGUCAAGUCUUGCCACAGGGGCAAAUGUCUCAUUAUAGUCGAUUCCAGGCUUCUGUGAAUAGCCUUUAGCCACAAGCCUAGCUUUAUUCUUCUGCACAGUGCCAUCUAGGUUCAGUUUGACCUUGUAGACCCACUUAACACCAAUUACUGGUUUGUUAGAUGGCCUGUCAACUAAUUUCCAAGUAUUGUUCUUCUCAAUCAUCUCCAAUUCAGCCUCCAUUGCACAUCUCCAUGAUUCAUCCAAAUCUGCUUCUUCAAAGCUGUCAGGUUCUACAAUGCACAUGUUGCAUUGUGCCAUGAUGUCAUUAAUACUCCUCCACUUGUGAGGUGUGUGAUCAAGCCUUUGAGUCUCUUCAAGCAUUUCUUCCCCUUGAGGUGCAAUUUCUUCUUCCAUCUGCAUUUGAGUAUCCAAGAACUGAGAGUGAUCAUCUAAUACCCUCUGUUCAGUUUCUGCAGUAUCUUGAUUUCCAUCUGGCAUAGGUACUCCCACAUCUGCAUUGCUAGGAUUCUCCCAUUUCCAUGAGGCUUCUUCAUCAAAAUAGACAUCCCUAGACAAGAUAAUCUUUCUUGUCUUAGGAUCAUACAGUCUAUAGCCUUUUUCACACAAUCCAUAGCCCAUAAAAAUGCAUUUGUGACUGUUUUCUUCCAACUUGUGUCUCAAAACAGAAGGAAUAAGCACAUGACAUAGGCAUCCAAACACUUUCAAGUGUGCAAUACCUGGCUUUCUUCCUGUGUAGGCCUCAAAUGGUGUCAUUUUCUUAAGAGACUUAGAAGGACACCUGUUGAGAAGGUAGACUGUUGUAUGAACAGCUUCUGCCCAAAACUCAUAUGGAAGACUCUUUUCAUGUAGCAUAGACUUUGCCAUCUCAAUCACAGUCCUGUUCUUCCUCUCAACAACUCCAUUUUGCUGAGGGGAAUAUGCUACUAUCAGCUGCCUUUGUAUUCCAGCCUCACUGCAGUAUGCAAGAAAUUCAUUUGACAUGAAUUCUCCACCUCUGUCACUUCUAAGUGAUUUCACCUUGUGUCCACUCUGCAAUUCUGUCAUUGCUUUGAACUUCUUGAAACAUUCAAAAGCAUUAGAUUUAUUUCUGAGAAAAUAAACCCAAGCCAUUCUUGUAUAGUCAUCAAUGAAUAACAGGAAAUAUCUGUUUUCUGACAUUGAUGCAAUCUGCAUUGGACCACAGAUGUCAGUGUGAACUAAUUCAAGUGGAAACUGAGCUCUCCAAGUAGAUUCUGCAAGAAAUGAGUCUCUAUGCUGCUUUCCCAGCUUGCAGCCUUCACAAACUGCAAAAUCCUUCUCCAGACUAGGCAGUCCAUGAACCAUGUCUUGAUUUGCCAACAUCCUGAUGCUUUGAUCAUUAAGAUGGCCCAGCCUUUUAUGCCAAGUCUGCAAACUGUGAGUCACACUUGCUCUCAGCACCAACUGAGUAGCAGGUACCAUUGUGAGAGAAACACCUAUUGCUAGUCAUUGGAACCUUAGCUAUAGGAUUUUGCAGUGACCAAUCAUCAAAAAUUGUCACCAUUCUCUUUCCAAAUACUAAACAAUACCCAUGUUCCAUCAUCUAACCAACACUGAGCAAGUUCUCUUCUAAACCAGGCACCAACAUCACUUCUUGAAUGUGUUUUCUGCCUGUCUUGGUUUCUAUCACAAGUGUACCUUUUCCUGCAACUUGAACUGUCUCUCCAGUCCCCAUUUUCACCUUGGAAGUUACAUCCCUUCGAAUAUCUAUCAGUAGCCUUUCAUCUCCAGUCAUGUGGUUGCUACAACCACUGUCCACAUACCAAGAAUUGUUCAAUUUCACAUCUGUCACAGCAUUGCAUGCAUAAAACAAUGUUCCAGUUUCUUCAACCUGAUUGGNNNNNNNNNNCUUCACAGCAUUCCAAUGCUCUCUGCCUGGUUUAGACAGGAAUCUGCUUACAACACCAACUGCGUGCGUUAUGUCUGGCCUCGUGCAAAUCAUUGCAUACAUCAAACUACCAACAGCUGAGGAAUAUGGCACCAUAGCCAUGUUUUCUUUUUCUUUCUCACAUGUGGGACUCUGCUUUGAACUAAGCUUAAAGUGACUAGGAAAUGGAGUAGAAACUGAUUUUGCUUUAUCCAUGUUAAACCGCUUUAGUGCCUUCUCGAUAUAACUUUCUUGUGAUAACCUCAACUUCCGAUUUUUUCUAUCACGGGAUAUACUCAUACCGAGGAUUCGUUUUGCGGGUCCUAAGUCUUUCAUAGCAAAAGACUUGCUCAACUCUUUCUUCAGCUUGCUAAUCUUGUCACUGUUUUGUCCUACGAUCAACAUGUCAUCGACAUAGAGAAGAAGUAUGAUGAAUUCACCAUCAUCAAAUCUUUUCACAAAUACACAAUGGUCUGAAGUAGUCCUUCGAUAUCUGUGUUCAAUCAUGAAGGAAUCAAACUUUUUAUACCAUUGUCGAGGCGCCUGCUUGAGUCCAUAUAAGCUCUUUUUCAGCCGACAUACCAAAUGUUCUUUUCCUUUGACUUUGAAUCCUUCUGGAUGCUCCAUGUAGAUUUCUUCUUCAAGAUCUCCGUGAAGAAAAGCUGUCUUCACAUCUAGCUGUUCGAUCUCGAGAUUCAGGCUUGCAGCCAAACCAAGUACAACCCGUAUGGAUGACAUCUUCACUACGGGUGAGAAAAUCUCUUCAAAGUCAAUUCAUUUCUUCUGACUGAAACCUUUCACAACUAGCCUUGCCUUAAACCUGGGCUUAGAGUUGUUUUCUUCCGUCUUCAGUCGAUACACCCAUUUGUUCUUGAGUGCUCUUCUACCUUUUGGUAGGUUCACCAGAUCAUAUGUAUGGCUCUCAUGCAGAGAUUGCAUCUCUUCAUGCAUAGCUUUCAACCACUCAUCUUGUUGAUCAUGAGUCAAUGCUUCUUUAUAGCAUUCUGGUUCUCCCCCGUCUGUUAGGAGAACGUAAUCAUCUAGAAAAUACCUACUCGAAGGUCUCCGUACCCUGGUCGAUCUUCUUGGUUGGAAUUUGCCCACUGGCUCUUCAUGGGAUUGUGCUUCUAGCCCCUCAUCAGCUACAUCAUCUACUAUACCAUCAGUUGUGUGAUCAUCACUCGUUUCAUCAUCAACUGGUUCAUUUAUAAUUGGAUCACUAGCUGGAUCUUCAGUAUCAUUGGAUUCAUCUCGCCCGUCACUGUGCUCCAAUGAAGGAGGAACUGGAUCCAAGUUAGUUGGAUAUUCUCUAGGAUUAUCAAGUUUAUCACUUCUUCGAAUGUCUUCAAUGUUCUGAUCUUCAAAGAAGACAACAUCUCUACUUCUAAUAAUCUUUCUAGCUAUAGGAUCCCAUAACCUAUAACCGAUUCUUCAUUCCCAUAUCCCACGAAGAUACAUUCUUUCGACUUUGCGUCGAGCUUGGAUCUCUCGUCUUUAGGAAUAUGAACAAAAGCUCUACAACCAAAAACUUUCAGAUGAUUGUAGGAAACGUCUUUUCCCGACCAGAACUUGCUCGGGACAUCACCAUUCAAAGGUGCUGAAGGAGAAAGGUUGAUUAGAUCAACCGCAGUCAUCAGGGCUUCACCCCAAAAACUUUUGGGCAGCUUGGCAUGAGAUAACAUUGUUCUUAUUCUUUCAACAAUUGUUCUGUUCAUUCUCUCAGCUAUGCCAUUAUGCUGAGGAGUCUUCGAACAGAUCUUUCAUACCUGAUUCCGUUACUUCUACAGUAGUUUCUAAACGCCCCCAUAUAUUCUCCUCCAUUAUCGGUGCGAAUACAUUUGAAGCUUCUACCAGUCUCUCGUUCAACGCUAGCAUGAAACUGCUUGAAAACUUCAUACACUUGAUCUUUUGUUCUAAGUGCGUAAGCCCAUACCUUCCUGGAAUGAUCGUCAAUGAAGGUAACAAAAUAUCUUGCACCACCAAGAGUACUAGUAGUCAUAGGACCACAAACAUCAGAGUACACAACAUCCAAUACAUUGGGUUUUCUUUGUGCAUGACCAUGUUGAAAUGAAGCUCUAUGCUGCUUUCCAGCCAAGCAAUGCGUGCAUGAUUUUAGAGGCAUGCCUUUCUUCAUCCCAGUCAGUGCCUCUCUUUUGGCUAGAAUUUGCAGCCCUUUCUCGCUCAUGUGACCGAGCCGUUUAUGCAAUAGCUCGAUUGAGUCUUCUGCGAGAGCAUUUACGUACCCAUUACUAACUUUUGCAUGUGUCAUGUAUAAGGUGUUCUCCUUCUUCCCUCGUGCUAGGACAAGAGAGUUCUUGCUGAGUUUCCAUUUCCCUUCAGCAAAGACAUUAGUGUAUCCUUCAUCGUCAAGUAAUCCAGUGGAGAUUAGAUUAAGACGCAUGUCUGGAACAUGUCUCACAUCCUUGAGGACCAAGUGACAACUUGUGUUGGUUUCAAGGGAAAUAUCUCAUCUUCCCAUGAUCUUGGAAAAUUUGUCAUUUCCCAUCCUCACAUUACCAAAAUCUCCAUUGGUGUAAGAUGUAAAGAAGUCCCUCCGUGAGGUGACAUGAAAUGAUGCACCAGAGUCCACUAUCCAGCAUGUAUCUUGAGAGGACAAAUUAACGAAGCCAUCACCACAUAGAAUAAUUACCUCAUUUCCAUCAGAGGUAGUUGCGGUCGUGUGCCUGGCAUCACUCUUUUCGUUACCUCUAUCUUGCUCUCGUUUAAACAACCUGCACUCUCUUUUCAUGUGGCCUAUCCCGCCACAAUGGUAACAUUCUAGGUCCUUUCUUGUCUUGGCCCUUCCUCUCGAGCCAUCUCUUGACCUGCCCUUUGACUUGUCUCGCCUGUGGAAUUUUCUAUUGUUAGUUCUUCCACGAUACUCUGAGACGAGGGCUUCUGACUCGGCUACUACACCUUGUUCUUUCCUCCUUGCUUCUUCAUUGAACAUGCUAUCUUUAACUAUGUCCAAUGUAAGAACACCUUGAGGAGCUGAAUUGCUUAAGGAUACUACUAGUGUAUCCCAGCUAUCAGGCAAAGAGCUGAGUAACACUAGUGCUUGUAACUCAUCAUCAAGCACCAUCUUCAUAUUCGUCAACAGGUUGAUCAAACCUUGGAAGUCACUGAGAUGCUCGGUAACACUUCGACCAUCUCUGUACUUAAGGUUUACCAACCGUCGGAUAACCGAUGCUUUAUUUUGAGCGGUCUUCCGCUCGUACAUGGACGACAAUUUUGUCCAUAAUUUGUAUGCAUCCGUCUCUUGUGACACAUGGUGGAACACACUUUGAUCCACCCAUUGUCGGAUUUGUCCGACAACUUUUCUAUUCAGAAUGCUCCAUGCAUCGUCUGACUUCCCUGCUGGUUUUUGUCCCAGCAAUUGAAGGGGCUCAUACAAAUCCUUGCAGUAAAGGAUGUCCUCCAUUCUUGGAUUCCAAAUGGAGUAAUUGGAUGCAGUCAAUUUUAACAUUGUUGCUGAUGAUGAUGACGAUGACUCCUCCAUCUUAAAUUACACAAGAAUAUAAUUUUUGAGCCGAAGCUCUGAUACCACUUGUUGGGAAAGAUUGUGAAAAUCAAAGAGCCAAUAAAUAAAUAUGGCACUCUCAGGAUCUGACUUCUCCCAGCCUUGUGUAAAUAAAAUGGGCAAAAAUAACACUCUAUCUUCAACUAAGAAAAAAUAAUGGGAGUACAAUAAUAAUCUCUCCAAACACCGGUGGCUAAACUCUCUCUUAGUUUUUCUCUCAAGAGGAUUUUCUCUCACACACAAGUGAGGUUUUCUUAUCUCUCAAAACUCUCUAUGUUUUG